UAAUUUGCUGACGAGUGGCGCACGGGUGCGUAACGCGUAUACAAUCUACCUUUUGCUGAGGGAUAGCCCAGAGAAAUUUGGAUUAACACCUCAUGGUAUUAUUGAUAGGCAUCUAUUAAUAAUUAAAGGUUACGGCAAAAGAUGAGUAUGCGUCCCAUUAGCUAGUUGGCGAGGUAACGGCUCACCAAGGCAACGAUGGGUAGGGGUCCUGAGAGGGAGAUCCCCCACACUGGUACUGAGACACGGACCAGACUCCUACGGGAGGCAGCAGUGAGGAAUAUUGGACAAUGGGCGAGAGCCUGAUCCAGCCAUGCCGCGUGCAGGAAGACUGCCCUAUGGGUUGUAAACUGCUUUUAUACAGGAAGAAUAAGCCUUACGUGUAAGGUGAUGACGGUACUGUAAGAAUAAGGACCGGCUAACUCCGUGCCAGCAGCCGCGGUAAUACGGAGGGUCCGAGCGUUAUCCGGAAUUAUUGGGUUUAAAGGGUCCGUAGGCGGAUGAUUAAGUCAGGGGUGAAAGUUUGCAGCUCAACUGUAAAAUUGCCUUUGAUACUGGUCAUCUUGAGUUGUAUUGAAGUAGGCGGAAUAUGUAGUGUAGCGGUGAAAUGCAUAGAUAUUACAUAGAACACCAAUUGCGAAGGCAGCUUACUAAGUACUAACUGACGCUGAUGGACGAAAGCGUGGGUAGCGAACAGGAUUA
rnacentral:rRNA from 1 species